AGUGAACGCUGGCGGCAGGCCUAACACAUGCAAGUCGAGCGGCAGCGGGUUCCCGCGAGGGGAUGCCGGCGAGCGGCGGACGGGUGAGGAACACAUCGGAAUCUGCCUGGUUGUGGGGGGAUAACGUAGGGAAACUUACGCUAAUACCGCAUGCGACCCUGAGUCGACGGACUGGGGGUGAAAGUGAGGGACCUUCGGGCCUCACGCGACCAGAUGAGCCGAUGUCGGAUUAGCUAGUUGGCGGGGUAACGGCCCGCCAAGGCGACGAUCCGUAGCUGGUCUGAGAGGAUGAUCAGCCACACUGGGACUGAGACACGGCCCAGACUCCUACGGGAGGCAGCAGUGGGGAAUCUUGGACAAUGGGCGCAAGCCUGAUCCA
rnacentral:rRNA from 1 species